rnacentral:rRNA from 1 species
GAUGAACGCUGGCGGCGUGCCUAAUACAUGCAAGUCGAGCGAACAGACGAGGAGCUUGCUCCUCUGACGUUAGCGGCGGACGGGUGAGUAACACGUGGAUAACCUACCUAUAAGACUGGGAUAACUUCGGGAAACCGGAGCUAAUACCGGAUAAUAUAUUGAACCGCAUGGUUCAAUAGUGAAAGACGGUUUUGCUGUCACUUAUAGAUGGAUCCGCGCCGCAUUAGCUAGUUGGUAAGGUAACGGCUUACCAAGGCGACGAUGCGUAGCCGACCUGAGAGGGGGAUCGGCCGCACGGGAACUGGGCCGCGGUCCAACCUCCGACGGGAGGCAGCAGUAGGAAAUCUUCGGCAAUGGGCGAAAGCCUGACGGAGAAACGGCGCGUGAGUGAGGAAGGUCUUCGGAGCGUAAAACUCUGUUAUUAGGGAAGAACAAAUGUGUAAGUAACUAUGCGCGUCUUGACGGUACCGAAUCAGAAAGCCACGGCUAACUACGU